rnacentral:lncRNA from 1 species
UCCAGAGGAUGUCGACAUUUCCAGUACAGACGGGCAACGCCACCAGCUCUUCUGGCUGCAGCUCUUCCUUCUUUAAACCUCCUUUGAAGCCUCGUGAGUUUCCUAACCCACGAGGCUCUCAGCCACCCCAUGUUCACUCAGAGGGGUGUAAACUAGCACACCUUACAGAAGCAAAAAGGACAGCGCCCAGAAGUCCAGAACACCUUAAUAAGUGUGUAAUGAACUGCGUUUGACUAAAACUGGAGAUAUGCAGCUGUUAACUAAUGGCCGUGAAGAUACAUGAAGCCUCUAUUAAAUGCCAGAUGUCUCCUCUGAUCUGCAUGGUGUUCUGAGACGGCUAUUAUGUCAUGUGGUGAGAACUGUGUACGGUGAUUUUACAGUGAGGAAACAAACAUAUGAUUUGAUGAAAGGAUAACCAUUUUAAAUUAUAGUUAUUAAAAUUCUAUAAAUCCGAA